rnacentral:rRNA from 1 species
UACAGAGGCCUCGAGCGUUAGGCGGAAUCACUGGGCUUAAAGCGUGUGUAGGCGGAUCGGUAAGUACCUUGUGAAAUCCCACAGCUUAACUGUGGAACUGCUUGGUAUACUGCCAGUCUUGAGCCACUUAGGGGCUACCGGAACAAAUGGUGGAGCGGUGAAAUGCGUAGAUAUCAUUUGGAACGCCAAUGGUGAAAACAGGUAGCUGGGAGUGUGCUGACGCUGAGACACGAAAGCCAGGGGAGCAAACGGG